GACUACCGGNNCCGUGUCCCGUCGGUCCCGUGGCUUAUGUUACUGUUGGCUUUUCAAGUGCUUGCGUGCUGGUACCCGAACUACGGGAAGUGGUGCUUUGUACAGGUUGCCUCGCGGUGGACGCCUUCGGGUGUGCCRCUGCGGCCAUAUGGCGCUUGCGGCGUUGCCUCGUGACGCUGGCACGUCUACGUGUCCGGUGCUAUCAAGGCAGCCUCGCUCCCGCUGUUGGUCUCGGAUGUUGCUCACGAUAAAGUGUCGUGGCCCUUUCGGUUGCCCCGACCCGACCCUAAGAAGCUCUCYGAAUUGAGAACAACCGGAACAGGUGUUGCCUCUACCUCUCCACAGUUAGUGGUAGGAUAYGCAACAUUCUGCGCCGAUCCUCAAACAAGUAGGACGAGCUUAGCCCGCUCAAUUGCGACAACCRGCCC
rnacentral:misc_RNA from 1 species